AUUGAACGCUGGCGGCAGGCCUAACACAUGCAAGUCGAACGAGUGGCGGACGGGUGAGUAAUGUCUGGGAAACUGCCUGAUGGAGGGGGAUAACCACUGGAAACGGUAGCUAAUACCGCAUACCAUCAGAUGUGCCCAGAUGGGAUUAGCUUGUUGGUGGGGUAACAGCUCACCAAGGCGACGAUCCCUACCUGGUCUGAGAGGAUGACCAGCCAAAAUGGAACUUAGACACGGUCCAGACUCCUACGGGAGGCAGGAGUGAGGAAGAAUGCACAAGUGGCGCAAGCCUGAUGCAGACAUGCCGAGGGUAUGAAGAAGGCCUUCGGGUGGUAAAGUACUUUCAGCGGGGAGGCGUUAACCGCAGAAGAAUCACCGGCUAACUCCGUGCGAGCAGCCGCGGUAAUAC
rnacentral:rRNA from 1 species